GGAUGUGAGGGCGAUCUGGCUGCGACAUCUGUCACCCCAUUGAUCGCCAGGGUUGAUUCGGCUGAUCUGGCUGGCUAGGCAGGUGUCCCCUUCCUCCCUCACCGCUCCAUGUGCGUCCCUCCCGAAGCUGCGCACUCGGUCGAAGAGGACGACCAUCCCCGAUAGAGGAGGACCGUUCUUUGGUCUAGGGUAUACGAGUAGCUGCACUCCCCUGCUAGAACCUCCAAACAAGCUCUCAAGAAGUAUUGGGAAGGACAAUGAUUCACUGAGGUACCCUUGGGAAAUUUUUUCACUUUACCUUAUCUGUAAAAUGACCACAAA
rnacentral:snRNA from 1 species